rnacentral:sRNA from 1 species
GCUGGGUGCAGUGGCGCACAUCUGUGAUCCCAGCAGCCCAGGAGGCUGAGGCAGGAGGACUGUGAGUUCAAAGCCAGCCUCAGCAAUUUAGCAAGACCCUGCCUCUA